UCAAAAACAUGUCUUAUUGAUUAUAAUUUUAGGUUUAACCUGCCCCCUGAGGAUUUUAAAUGGCCGCAGUAUUAUGACUGUGCUAAGGUAGCAUAAUCAUUAGUUUCUUAAUUAGGAGCUGGAAUGAAUGGUUGGAUGAAAUAAUGGUUGUCUCUAUUUAAUUUUUUUAAAAAUUUAUUUUUUAGUAAAAAAGCUAAAAUUAGUUUAAAAGACGAGAAGACCCUAUAGAGUUUAAUAUAUAGAUAUUUUAAUUUUAUUAGAAUAUAAAUUUUUAAUUUAUUAAUAUAUUUGAUUGGGGUGAUUGAAAAAUUUAAUAAACUUUUUAUUUUUAAAAACAUUGAUUUAUGAAUAAUUGAUCCAUUAAUUAUGAUCAAAAGAUUAAAUUACCUUAGGGAUAACAGCGUAAUAUUUUCAGAGAGUUCUAAUCGAAGAAAAAGAUUGCGACCUCGAUGUUGGAUUAAAAUUAAUUAUUGGUGUAGAAGUUAAUAAUAUUAGGUCUGUUCGACCUUUAAAAUUUUACAUGAUCUGA
rnacentral:rRNA from 1 species